AUUCUUUGCCAUUUGUAGUGAUUUCUUCUAAUGUGUCCUUGCAGUCCAGUUUAUUCCUGUAAAAUAUUUGCUUUGAUUUGUGGAUGAGAUUAAGUAAAGAAUUAGAAUUAUAGUUGCAAGGAUUGUUAUGUGCAAGUGCCAUGUGUGUGAUAUGUGCCUUUUGUAGGCUUUGAUGCUUCUGUCAUUAUUCAUUCAUAUACGAUUUUCAUAGAUAUUGGUUUGACUCCUAUAUUUAUCUGAGCUGUACACAUGUGAGAAACUUGCAUUUAUUUGUAAGUUGUGCUUUAACUUUUAUUGUGCAAAUCUUACUGAUUUCUACUUCCGUUUUAGGACACUGUUUUAGAGCUUGAG
rnacentral:misc_RNA from 1 species